rnacentral:rRNA from 1 species
CACGCAGUAAACGAUGAUUACUAGCUGUUUGCGAUAUACAGUAAGCGGCUGAGCGAAAGCGUUAAGUAAUCCACCUGGGGAGUACGUUCGCAAGAAUGAAACUCAAAGGAAUUGACGGGGGCCCGCACAAGCGGAGGAACAUGUGGUUUAAUUCGAUGAUACGCGAGGAACCUUACCCGGGCUUGAAAUGCAUCUGACGUAGGCAGAGACGCCUAUUCCCCUCGGGGCAGAUGUGUAGGUGC